rnacentral:rRNA from 1 species
GACGAACGCUGGCGGCGUGCUUAACACAUGCAAGUCGAGCGGUAAGGCCCUUUCGGGGGUACACGAGCGGCGAACGGGUGAGUAACACGUGGGUGACCUGCCCUCAGCUCUGGGAUAAGCCCGGGAAACUGGGUCUAAUACCGGAUAUGACUCCAUGACGCAUGUUGUGGGGUGGAAAGCCUUGUGCGGCUGAGGAUGGGCCCGCGGCCUAUCAGCUUGUUGGUGGGGUGAUGGCCACCAAGGCGACGACGGGUAGCCGGCCUGAGAGGGCG